rnacentral:rRNA from 1 species
UAAGGAAUAUUGGGCAAUGGCCGUAAGGCUGACCCAGCCAUGCCGCGUGCAGGAAGACGGCCUAUGGGUUGUAAACUGCUUUUAUGUGGGAAUAAGUACCAUAUGAAUAAGCAUCGGCUAACUCCGUGCCAGCAGCCGCGGUAAUACGGAGGAUGCGAGCGUUAUCCGGAAUCAUUGGGUUUAAAGGGUGCGUAGGCUGGUAUUUAAGUCAGUGGUGAAAUUUUCGUGCUUAACAUGAGAGCUGCCAUUGAUACUGGAUACCUUGAGUGUAUUUGAUGUGGGCGGAAUGUGUUGUGUAGCGGUGAAAUGCUUAGAUAUGACACAGAACACCGAUAGCGAAGGCAGCUCACAAAGUUACAACUGACGCUGAUGCACGAAAGCGUGGGGAUCAAACAGGAUUAGAUACCCGGGUAGU